rnacentral:rRNA from 1 species
GACGAACGCUGGCGGCGUGCUUAACACAUGCAAGUCGAACGGAAAGGCCGCAUCAUUUUUUUGGUGGGGUGCUCGAGUGGCGAACGGGUGAGUAACACGUGGGUGAUCUGCCCUGUACUUCGGGAUAAGCUUGGGAAACUGGGUCUAAUACCGGAUAGGACCAUGGUUUAGUGUCUCAUGGUGGAAAGAUUAUUGUUUUGGUGCAGGAUGAGCUCGCGGCCUAUCAGCUUGUUGGUGGGGUAAUGGCCUACCAAGGCGUCGACGGGUAGCCGGCCUGAGAGGGUGGACGGCCACAUUGGGACUGAGAUACGGCCCAGACUCCUACGGGAGGCAGCAGUGGGGAAUAUUGCACAAUGGGCGCAAGCCUGAUGCAGCGACGCCGCGUGGGGGAUGACGGCCUUCGGGUUGUAAACUCCUUUCGUUAGGGACGAAGCCGCACCUUUUUUUGGGUGUGGUGACGGUACCUUUGUUAAGAAGCACCGGCUAA